GAGCUGUGAUGGAGCUUGGUGUGUGUGUGUGUGUGUGUGUGUGUGUCUGCUCUCAGAUGGCAGCACAACCCCACGGUCAC
rnacentral:miRNA from 12 species